UUCCCCUUGACAUUCAGAUUUAUUCUAUAUCAAGAAAUGAAGCUACUGAAAUUCCAGGAGCAUACAACUGCCCCUCAUCUGUGGGGGAAUACAUUCUUCCAAGAGCCCCACUGGAUGCCUGAAGCUGCAGUAGUACCAAACCCUACAUAUACUAGGCAUGAAUUUCUUUUUUCCUUACCAUUCAUGGAUAGGCUGGUCUGAGUGCAGUGGUGCUCACAGCUAAUUGGCCACAAUUCAUGGGUAGAAGAUUCAUUCUUACUGUAGAUCUUAGCAAUGUCAGCAUGCAAUUUUUUUUCUUUCCUUAAGUUGAUAACUUUCACCUUUUCACUUAAAGGAAGCAUUUUAUGGCUUCUUUUUGGCAUAUGCAAAUUGCCAGCAUCAUCACUCUCAUGCUUUGAGGCCAUUAUAUAACAAAAUAAGGGUUACUUCAACACAGGCACUGGGAAACGGUGGUGACAGUCUAUGUGAUAACUGAGAUAACUACCGUGUGACUGACCGGAAGGUAGCUUAGACAGUGUGGAUAUUCUGGACAAAGAGAAGACUUACCUCCUAGGUGUGACAGAGCAGGUGGGACAGAUGGCAAGAGAUUUCAGCAUGCAAUUUAAAACUUAUGAAUUACUUCUGAAAUUUUCCAUUUAAAUUUUUGGGGCCACAACUGACUGCAGGUAAGUGAAACCACAGAAAACAAAACCUUAGAUAAGGAGGAGCUAAUGUAUUUAGCUUUAACAUUAUAUCAAUGACCAACGGUGCAACAUAAAAUGAUGUCUUUAUUUUCUGAUAUUUGUAUUACUUUCUGGUAAUAAAAUGUCCUUCCAACAUUUUAGAAGAAUGAGUCCCAUUUUGCACAUGGUAGUAGACACUUAACAGAUGUUUGACGAAACAAUGGUAAGUAAGCGGGUAGAUACACACUGACAUUUAACCACGUGCCUUAAUUCAGCUUUAAGUGCCAAUGCUUAUUAACGGUGAUGCGUAAACACAACAGCACACAUUCUGAUACAGGCUCUUCCACUGAAAAUUUCACCCUACUUCCAAAGCGUAAAUCCAGACCAUUUAAGUUUCCAUGUGAAGACGGAAAUGAUAACAUAAUAGUGAAGUUGUCUUGGAGGAAUUGCUGGAGGACGCGACUGGUACCUUCAUGGAGAAUGGGGAAGCCUUCGCGUGUGGCUGAUACAAAUGGUUGUCACACGCCAUCUAGUGGCCAUCUGUGAAACUGUGCUUAUGCUGUGGGAAAGGCUUUUGGAACAUGCUUGAUUGCUUAGUGCCUAUCGGGCAGCCAGUGAACAUUUGUCCAUCUUUAAGGCACUAAACUGAGAGGAACCACUGAAGAAAGCAUGCCACAGUCUUUUCCAAAAUUCCUGUGUCUUAAGGAACAACCAAGAAGUAACCGGUCAGGGAAAACAUUUCUUUUGGGAAGCAGGUAAGUAACCAAGACGCCGUGGGAGUCAUCCUUGCCUGCAACAGUAGAGGUAUAAAGCAAGGUAAGUAGCACGAUAUUCACUGCUUUUUGUCCCGCAGAAACCAUCGCUGUGUGUAGAAAUCCAUGACCUCACCGUGACUUCUACAACCCCGAGGACUUGCCUGCCAUUACUGAAAUGCACAGAGGAAAGAUUCUGUGGCAGGUGCCGCAUUUUAUCCAGCUCACUCUGUGCUAGCUCCUAAGACAUCUUAAUUGUUACACAUAUGUAUAAUCGUAAUAUUUUGCCAUGAAUUACAUAUCAUAUUUCACAAUUAUCAACCAUUUUGAUUUUUAGCUUUCUAACCUGGGGCUACUAUAAUAAAAAGAAUUAAUACAUCCAAAAGUAGUAGUGGAAAAAAUAAAUAUCUCCAAGUUUAUUCUUGUAAGUUUAGUUCUUAAUAGAAUGAGGACUCUAAGAGGUUUUUUUUUGCAUUAAGUAUCUUCCAGACAAUUCAAAGAGAGAUAAUAAGUCACUUGGUUGUAAAUUUCCAGAAAUCAUUAAAUAUACAAUGUGGGACUACGCAGAACAGCAGGAAGAACAUUCAGUAUUUGAGAGUUAACAGCUCAAAUUAAGAUAAAUUGUUUAGGAGUCUCACAGACAGGAGCAUUUUCCCUUUCUGGUUUACCAUGGUGGCAUGUAUACAGUACUUGAAAAAUGUUGCUUUCAAGUCAUGUUAACUGCUUCUUAAGACCAUCAAAUAAGAAAUGAUAUUGCUUAUUAGUUCCAAAAUAGAAAAUCCUAUAAGAUCAUUUCCUCUUCGUGUUAAAGUUAAUUUCCAUUAUAAAUAUAUGCUUUCAGUAUGAAAUGCUCAACCUCAAAAGGCAUCAGUUUUUGCCUUUUGAACUAUAAUCCUGAUUCCUAAAUUGUGAUAGAGCUUCAGCUACAUCUCAAACAUUUAUUUUCCACUCUCUUUAUCAAAGAGUGAUUUAUUUUAAGAGAAGCAUUUGUCAAUGUUUCUGAAAUGUUCAUUCUUAUAAAAGGCUAUGAACAAGUCGCAGGAUGAAGACUUCGGUUUUCUAUGGGUUAAGUGACAUAUCAAACAAUCCUAAAAUUUCUCAUCAUUUGGUGCACUAUUCUCAAAUUUUAAAAACCCAUUGUCUGAAAGCAAGAUGGGCUUUUCUUUAAUGCUCAUAUGUAAAAAUAAACCAGACUUACGGGCUCAGGUCUCUGUCGUUGCCUACAGUUAAUGUCUAUACAAAAAGAAUAUUCCAAAUCUUUCUGCUUUCCUUAAUCUCAAAUGUUCAAAAUGACUACAUUUUUUAGAAUAUUUACCUAUUAGCUAACGUUAUAGUUAAAAAGGAAAUCAGACUAAUUUUGGCAGCAUUGUGCCUUACUACGAAUCCUGUUUGUACUAUGUGAGUGGAGAAAAUAAAAUUUGCAAAGUCCCAGUCUCUAGCCAUCCGCAUUGUCCUGGCUUUCUUGUUUUCUGCGUAUAGAGUUCCCUGCGCAUAUGGGAAGCUCGGCUGAGGACCAGUGCAAACUAUUUUCCCCACAAGCCAACAUGCCGCCACUAAAAAUAGACCUAAAAAUAAAAAUAAAUAACAUGUAAAGUGUUCUGUCCUCAACAAAGCCGGAGUGUGAGAUUUUGAUAAAGCCAUCUGUGGUUGCCGUGACAUUCUGACCAGUCCAGUAGAAAUCGCAUGAUUCUUUAGACCAUCUAACUCUCUCCUCUGUCCGCUUUGUAGCGAUGUUGCUGGGAUAACCUGAGACAAUUUCAGAGAGGCUUGGGGCUCAGGAAGACAUAAAUAUAAGGCAUUGUUUCGCACGAUCUGGCUAGAAGGGUGUAGUGCGGAACAGAAUUAAGACCUCCUCCUGUAUUGUGAGGCACAGUGGGCUGUUUGAUCUCUAAGUCCUCGGGUAAUUGGAGUCUACACAGCCUGUGGAACUGGGGCCUGAGCAGCUCACCGCAUGCCCAAAGCCCACUGCCGACCUGCCUGGGGCACUAUGUAUCCUCCCCCUGCCCCCACCAAACACACACACUCACACACCAGAUUCAGCUUGUAGUCAAGGUUCUGCCUUGCACUCAGCAUUAUUUCCAAGCGGAGAAAAUGAUGAUGUGGAAAUUCUAAUGGAAGACAUACUGUUUGUUAUCAGGUACAUGAAAGUAAACAGAAACUGUCCUGGGGUCUAAGCAGCCCCCUGCAUUCAGGGGAUUCCCCUCAUCACAUUCCACAACCCUACUUUCAAUAAGGGCCGUUUUGUGAUCCAAUCUCACCAUCACAGGCUUAUUUUUUCAUGCGGAAUUUCCAUGAAAUCUACCCGUUCACCUUAGAUCACUGUGCACUCAUCCUCCUCUAAGCCCGUGAGGUACCAAUGGUUGGUUUACACUCCAUUCAUUCAACAAAUAUUUACUGGGCACCUACCACAUGCUAAGCACUCGACUAGCUGGGAGCCCUGUGGUGAGUAGCACUGACAUGCUUCUCAACAAGGAAGGUGAUAAACUGACCCAGCUUGCCCAGAACAGAAGAGAUUUUCGAGACAUGGUGCUUUCAGCUUUUAAACUAGUAUAGUCCCAGACAAACGGGGAUAAGUUGGUCACCCUAUAAUAAGUCUAGCAAAUACUGUCUUCUACGGCUUCUCGUCUUCUUAGAAGUUUGUGCCCCCAUUCACAAAGCAGAGUCCUUCACACGUGUUUUCAGAUCUACUAUCUACAAGUUCUGUGUGUUUGAGCUAGGCAGAGCUAUAGCGAUUUAGCCCAGCCACGUGCUUCCUUGCCUUAAUCCCCAUGGGGUAGGCCCAGGUUUGAGGAGCCUGAAGCUUAUACAAUCCUAGGGGUGGUGGGCGCAGGGGUGGGGGGACAGUGCUCUCUUUAAGAAAAAGAAGACAGGGCUGGGUGCAGUGGCUACACCUGUAAUCCCAGCACUUUUGAAGGACAAGGCAGGUGGAUCACAAGGUCAAGAGAUGGAGAACAUCCUGGCCAACUGGUGAAACCUCGUCUCUACUAAAAAUUAAAAAAUUAGCUGGAAAUGGUGGCCUGCACCUGUAAUCCCAGCUACUUGGGAAGCUGAGGCAGGAGAAUCGUUUGAACCUGGGAGGUGGAGGUUGCAGUGAGCCGAGAUCAGGCCACUGCACUCCAGCCUGAUUACAGAGUGAGACUUUGUUCCAAAAAAAAAGACAAAAUUAUCGAUACAGAAUACAGAGUCUUGAGGGAGGGAACUUGCAAGACAGGGCCCUGAAGUUUAAGCUUCCUUAGCUUCCCAGACACUCCUCCUUUGUUUAAAAUAAUAAUAAUUAGCAGUUAACAUUUAUUAACUCGUUUAAUCCUCACAGGUGGGGUCCAUUUUACAGAUGAGAAACUCAAGGUCCCAGGAGAGAAUCAUGGGAGCUGUGAUCCAUACGUCUGUAUGCAGAACCGUUGUACCUGGAUCUCUGCCUGUCCCUGCUCCAGGAAGGUGUUGGAUCCUCCCAAGUCCAAGGGAAGUGAUUAGGACACAGACAACAGACAGAAAGUGACCACAGGAGGACACAGUGAGAAGCCGGCCAUCUGAAGCCAAGGAGAGAGGCCUCGGGAGAAAGCAAACCUGCCCACACCUUGAUUUUAGACUUCUAGCCCUCAGAACGGUACCUAUUUCAUCUACACUUGAAAAUGUGCUGCAACCUCCUUUUCAUUUUGAUGUCUAAUCUAAUUGGCCUCACAUGGAGAAAAAUUCUGUCCCACAACCACACAAACCAAGCCCCAGUCAGCCUUCAGCACGUGCCAUCUCUCAUCACCAGGAGGCCCAGGAGAGAACACGGACAAGUUCUCAGCAAGUUCUUCCACUCCAUAAACCUGACUGUGAAAAGCAAAGCCUACGUUCUCCCCAGGACCUCCAGGGGCAAUCUAUUUACAAGUUAAGGACUCUGCUUGCUCACAUUUACAGCCAUAAGCUGUCUCAUUUCCCCACCAGCCUUUUCCACUCAUCUGCGUCACCUUUGCAGACUGAAUAGUUCGGUUUGCAAUCAUAAAGAUUACAGCCUGUGGCUUUAUGUCCUUUGUGUUGGUUUCAUCUUGGAAAUGGAGGAAAUGGGAAGAAUAAUUAGAUGGGUCGAUGUUCAGUUCACUGAGGAUGAGAGAGUAAAGGGCCAGAGGUUUUGAAAUUUAGAAAUAAAAGCCGCCUUUGUGUCCCUUCAAAAUAUCAGCUCAAGAAAUGUCUUUAUAAUGAGACAAUUCCACAAAGUGUAUUUUUUUCUUACAUUUAUUGUGACUUCUUUGUUUUUUGGGUCUUUCAGACCGUCCUCUUGUUGUUGUUGCUCCUUUUAAAUCAGAUCCCGUCUCCUUUCUGCUCACCCGUGACUCUGCGCAACCCUCUCUCUCUCCCCUCUCUCCAGGAAGCACAUGUAUUCCUUGAAGGAUAUUGACUCUUACAAGUUGUAUUUUCCUAUAAGGGAAUUUUAUGUAAUUUAUUGCUUGUCUUUAAGGGUGAUUUUAAAAGUCGUGCUUUUGCUUUAAUGGCCAAAGGAGCUUCAUGGAGAUGUUUUGCUGCAAAUCACUCAUGUAAAGUAAUAAAGCACGAUCUAGGGGUGCAACCGUCCUCUUCUUUAGAAGGCCCGGGGCACCCAGGGUCUGGGACCUGCCCAUUGGGAUAGGAGAGGUUAAUUAAAUUACCUUAUAUUUAGGGUUAAUUUGGUCCUAGUCUUGCCGGGUAAUAGACAACAAGCCCGGACUUGACCAGGAACACCAGCUUGGGCAUGAGCAGCUUCUCCUGGGUAUUUCUAUUGUCAGAUUAAUUGAGUUGACAUCUUGGUUGCAAUUAGUUACAAACGUGGGUCCAAUAUUAUUUCAACAGGUGUCAACUUAGGGGCUGUGGUUGGAAUCACAUGACCUGUUAAAUGAAGAUGGGAGGGCUCAAUUCAGGUCAACCGCUCAGGUGCCGAUGUGCCUGUGUCUUGUCAAGUUCUAGGAAGGGAAUGGAGGUUUGGAGAUGUUUCUAAAGAACCAUCACUUGCAAGAGAAUUCAAGACUCAACUAUGUUUAGAUGCCAAUUUGGCAUGCACUUUCACUGGGUCAAGCCUGGUGUAGAAAGUAUUUUGUUGAUAUACAAGUAAUGGGAAAUUCUUCCUGUAUUGGUAGCGACCACUUUUGAUUAUGGAUUACAAUUUGCAACACUAAUGCAAAUCUGAACCUUUCAGAAAGUAAAUGGUGAGAAGUCCUAAACAGUGUGAAAUUAUAUUUCCCAGAAAUAUUAUAGCCCCAAUCCAUACAGAUGUUUAGGAUGGUAAUUCCCUAGGUGAGGAAAGUGUUCAGAUGGCCCAGGUGCUGUGAUUGCAUGGACUUGGACUCAAUAUUAUUUCCCACCUUCAUUCCCAAGCCCUGAAAAGCACUUCCACAUCGUUACUCAGAUGAGAAACACAUUCAAGGCUUUUCUCCACUUGUUUUAGAUAAGAGCUCUACAGAAGGCACUACCUAAGGAAAAUCGUUUAUCAAGCCACUUCCUUGUGGACCUGGUACUCUGUCUACACUCUUUUGCCCACAGAAAAGGAUCUUUAGUGGAUCUUUAACAGUUGCUAAGCUUCAGCCACUCCAGAGGAUCACCCAGUGCUCUGGAAGAAUGUCUGUCAUUUAAAGAUAUCACUGAACCAAGCAGCACAACUUCUUGAUCUGUCAGAAAACCAACAGGUCAAGCAAAUCUAUGAUGCCAGUGGUUGAAAGCCUUAGUAGGAAAAAAAAAAUCUUGAAUAAUCAACCAGAGGUCCAGGAGACAGCUGGGUAUUUGAGAGCCUAUGAGUCACACAAACAACCUCAGAGCCAAGUCGCAUUCUCUGUUUGGCCUCAGAGCCAAAGGCUCGAGCACAUGCAGCCAGCCUGCCGGCAGAAAAGACGUGAAACUGGCAUUCUGUCUUAGGCCUGAGCAAGGUCUUGGAAGCCCCAGGUCCCUGAACAUGGGCUGCACAGAGCCACGCUUCAGCCCUGGGUCUCAGCAGGCAGCCAGGGGACGCUGUGGUAAGUAAAUUACUGUCCAGCACCCCCACCCCCACCCCCGGCUCCCCAUGGAUGUUUCAGUCAUCAAAUCCACCAAUGAGCCAACAAUUAAGGUGGAACACCUGGUUUCACUAUAAUGUUACAUACCUGCCACAGGCACUUUGGACACAUAAAAUCACAUAUUGGGUGGAGGAUGGAAAACCAGCUGAUGUAUCUAUUCAUCAUAGCAAGAUAGGGAGGAGUCAGGACACAGACCCUAACAUUUGGAAGAGCUAAACUCAGGCCCAGGUUUUCAGAAACAAAAUGCCAUUAAACACCAAAGACUGAAGGGUGAUGCAGGCCCCAUUAGGGAAAAUUCACAAAGCUUCAUUUCUGACAAUUACUUGGAGACUGAAAUAUAAUGAUCCCAUUUAUUCCAUCAGCAAGAGUUGUCACGGUCUUGCUACGAGAAAAAUGAUGAGCCUCCAGACCCUUUGGAAAUUCAACGUGAACUUACCAUUUUCACAUUCUGUUUGGUAUAGUUUCCACAUGUUAAUUGUCCAAUAAGUAACUUCCUGAACAAAGAUUCUUUCCCUCCCAAGCAUUGAAGUUGGCGUCAGGCCUCUGAAUAUGUGCAAAUCAAACAAGACACAGGCUUGUUGUCUGUUACCUGAUAAACCGAGGAUGAAAUUAAUGUAAAAAAUAGUGAGGCUCUUCUCUUUUAUCUCCUAGAUCAAAUAACUCUAUGAUGGAAAUAGGAUCAUCACAGAGUGCAUUGGUAGUGAAAAAUCUUGAAGUAAUAAUGUACGUCUUCCUAUAGGGUAGUAGCGGCUAAUAUCUUUGGAAUUAAGAUCAUCUCAGAUGUAACAUGCAUAUUAUUUGUAUAUAAUUAACACAUUUAUAUUAUCAAAAUUGUAUCUAUGUGUAUACUGCAUACAGAGAUAAUGAAAUAUUAAUAUUGUGUUCUGAAAUAUUCUGAAGUCAGAUCUUUAUAACUAAAUUUUUCUGGCUUUUUGUUAUUUACCAAAUGUAUUUGUUUGGGUAAGAUUUUAAUUCCUUUUAAUUUAAUAUUCCAUUGUACACCACAGACUCCCUAGCCCGUUUGGAAUUAACAAGAAAACAAAUGAGUGAGUGGGUGAGUGAAUGAAUGAACUGUUGGUUUCUCUCCUUAGAGUGCCAAGUCUCAAUCUUAAGGAGCCUUUUAUAGCUCAGCCCACACCCCACGCAGGCCUCCUUCCACCUCCACUUUCUAAGUGGGUCUGUAGACAUUUUCUAGGAGCAGAACAUGGCUUAAAAAAAGCACUAUUUGAAAAGUAUUUAAUGAUAUUCCCUGAAGUUACUUGGCCAAAUACGACUGAAUCUUUAUAACACAGAGAAAACAAAAUUAUUUACUCAUUCAGUAUUUAUUAGUUUGGAAAUGGGGACACAGCACCUCGCACACAAAGAGCUGCUGUUUGCUUUACCCCGGUACCUGCCUUGCGUGCCUUCAGAAGACUUGAGGAAGAGACUUACAGUUCCCGAGCUAAUGUUGACUCUUUGUAGCACAAUUCUUUACAUUUUAAGGAGCAAUUAAUUCUGAUAAUUGAUGUUAGUACAACAUGGACCUUAAAUGAUUUAUGAAAGAGUUUUCUGCCUCAAGACAGGCGUCUCUGAAAGUAACCUCGCCCGUUUAUGCCAUGCCCUGAGCAAUGCCAGGAAUGAAGGAGACCAGAAGGCUGGUGAAGAUGGGACAGCACAUGCUAACCCCCAGCCAACCGGGCCUGGCUCAUCAUCUGGAGCUGGAAGCGCAGAUGCUAGGCAGGCUCGAGAUGGAGUUUCAGGUGCCAGGAUGAGAGUGAGACCAUGGAGCCUGAAAGGGGGGCUUCUGGCUGAGAGAGUCCGCAGUCAUGUGGUUCUGUGGCUGCCCAUGCCAAGAGGAUGUCUGCAUAUGCCAAAUACUGACCCCACUGGCCAUCACCGCACUGCUCCUUGGGAUUUUCAGUGCUUUAGGAUUUGCCUUGAAAAGGCAAAAAGCCCUAGUACAGGUAAGCAUUGAGGAGUUCCAAGUUCAUUGAACACUCCUGAGGAUUAAGAAUGGCAUGGUGGGGAGGGGAGGGGAGGCAGCAAUGAAAGGGAAACUGGUAGGGAAGGACAAGGGGCCUAGAAUUGAUUGAACACCUACUAUUUGAUAGGCAUUGUGCUAGUCCCUUUAUAUAUUUGUGUUCCUAAGUUCCCAUAAGAACAUGGAAAGAUGGAUGUAAUUAUCCCCAUCUAUAGAAGAAGAAACUGAGGCUAAAGAGGUUGAGUAACUUGCUGUUGGUCACAUUUCUAGGUAGUGGCAGUGCUAGCAUUUCCACGUAGCAUUGCCUGGCCCCAUGUGCACCCCUUCCAUGAUACCACAAGGGCACUCCAAAGACAGACACACCUCGUGUCCCUGCCUGUGGUCUAGCCUCUCGCUUGGGGGAGCCAAGACUGGGAUUGUGGGGACCAUUGACUGGCUCCAGUGGAGUGUCCAGAGAGGGGCGGAGUGUUUCAUUUGCUCUCUCAGGUCCCCAUUCACCUCUCCAAAGCAACACCCUGUAGUUUCAACAUCAGGAAGAAUAGCUUAAGUUUGCCAAGCAAGCACAGCCUCCAAGCUCUAAACUCGCCUUCUAACUAGACUGCCAACUCUCAGACCCUCCUCAAUGGAAAACUUGGAGCCUCCUUCAAUUUACAGAGUUUUAUGUUAAUGUCUCUUAGAGUGAAUGCUCCCUGAAUGUAGGAAUUGUGUCUGCUCAACUUUGAGCUACAUCUGGUUGACUGCAUAUGGUAUAUGACCUAUAAUAAGUUCUCAAUAAAUAUUAGUGAAAUGAAUGAAUGAAGAUAAAUCUGUGUCUUCUUCAGUUUCCAAUGGAAGAAGCCUGAAUUAGUACUCGGGAGGCUUCUGGGGUCCUCCCCUCAAAAAUCCCUUUCUCCUAAGAGAGAAAUGUCUUUACAUCCUCGGUAGCUUCUAGGGCAUCUGUACAUGCCUGAGCCAAGCAAGGCUUCUGAAAUCUUCAGGACACCAGUGAACUGCCACUGCAUGCCAAAUUUAGUGCUUCGCCAGCACAGAGAGAGAGAGAGAGAGAGAGAAGGCCAAAGAGAGAUAAUGGCAAAUGUAUUUGUAAAAAACAGAAUUGGUAUGUUCUGGGAGCAUGGUGAGAGAGUGUCUUUCAUUUUCAAGAAAGGGCUGGGUAAAAGAACUCAGAGGAUCCCCAAAGGCCUAGGACUGAAGGAGGGGCUGUCCAUAAUUUAUCGCUUAUCUGACUAAGAGCUGUCUUGGACAGAUUGAAGUCAUUAGCCGGGCAGGCUUAGGUGGGAGGAACCUCUAAGGUACCUGGCACAGCGAGCCCGGAAGGAGCAAGCACCAGCAUGGCCAGAUCCUAAAUCUCUGAAAUAAAAUCACCAGGGCAGAAAAAUUCAGCACAUCCAGUGCCGUCUUUCCCUCCCACCUCCUUGGAGCAACAUGUGCCCUUUUAAAAAAAUGGCACUGAUAAAAAUCACAUCCAUUUACUGCAAUGUCUUUUCCAGAGUCGCAAAAGAAAGGCCUUUAUCAUCCCCUGAAUUAGAUCUGUGAUUUUUUUGAAUGACAUGUAUAAUAAUUAGACUGUAAAGAUGUGCAGUUAAUCCAUUUAAAGGUGUAAAGAAGUCCAUUUAAUGAACAUUAUAGUCACAUUAGACUUGGAAACAUCCAACUCUUUUGUUGAAUAAAAAGAAGUUCAAUGAGA